rnacentral:rRNA from 1 species
UACGAAGGGGGCUAGCGUUGCUCGGAAUUACUGGGCGCAAAGGGCGCGUAGGCGGAUGUUUAAGUCGGGGGUGAAAGCCCGGGGCUCAACCUCGGAAUUGCCUUCGAUACUGGACAUCUUGAGUACGGGAGAGGUGAGUGGAACUCCGAGUGUAGAGGUGAAAUUCGUAGAUAUUCGGAAGAACACCAGUGGCGAAGGCGACUCACUGGCCCGUUACUGACGCUGAGGAGCGAAAGCGUGGGGAGCGAACAGG